GGAGUCUAGCGUGCUAGCGAGUCAUUGGAUAAAUGCAAGUCACCUAAAGGCGUAAUGAAAGUAAAGAGUUGAUGGGCUGUACAUACAGCAUAUACUACAAUAUUUAUUGUUGUUGUAUAUGUACUUUAUAUAAUUAGUUCCCGCAUACUCGGGGCGUUUUAAUCUCAUUACGAGUUAGAGCGCACCUUGAGCAUGCACGCUGGGACCCGAAAGAUGGUGAACUAUGCCUGGUCAGGAUGAAGUCAGGGGAAACCCUGAUGGAGGUCCGUAGCGAUUCUGACGUGCAAAUCGAUCGUCUGAACUGGGUAUAGGGGCGAAAGACUAAUCGAACCAUCUAGUAGCUGGUUCCCCUCGAAGUUUCCCUCAGGAUAGCUGUUGCUUUUUUGUAUAAAAAAAAUAUGUCUUUUUCUCCCUGGUGUGUGUGUGUGUUCGCACGCGCGCACACACAUAGAAAGAGAUUAAGAGAGAGUUUCAUCUGGUAAAGCGAAUGAUUAGAGUGUAUUGGGGCCGAAACGGCCUCAACCUAUUCUCAAACUUUAAAUGGGUGAGAAGCCCGGCUUAUUUAAUUUAUGUUGUGUGUUGUAUAUGUUGUGAAAUGUAUAUGUAUAUACAGUAUUAAAGCCGGGAAUAUAAUAAUAUUGUACACGCGCGCCUGUACAGAUUUUCUGUACUGUGCUGUGCGUGUAUUAUAUUUUAUGUGAAUGUGAAUCAGAGUAACAAGUG
rnacentral:rRNA from 1 species